rnacentral:rRNA from 1 species
CCAGACUCCUACGGGAGGCAGCAGUGGGGGAUAUUGCACAAUGGGGGGAACCCUGAUGCAGCGACGCCGCGUGGGUGAAGGAGUAUUUCGGUAUGUAAAGCCCUAUCGGCAGGGAAGAAGCAAGACGGUACCUGACUAAGAAGCCCCGGCUAACUACGUGCCAGCAGCCGCGGUAAUACGUAGGGGGCGAGCGUUAUCCGGAUUCACUGGGUGUAAAGGGAGCGUAGACGGCGAUGCAAGUCUGAAGUGAAAGGCGGGGGCCCAACCCCCGGACUGCUUUGGAAACUGUAUGGCUGGAGUGCAGGAGAGGUAAGUGGAAUUCCUAGUGUAGCGGUGAAAUGCGUAGAUAUUAGGAGGAACACCAGUGGCGAAGGCGGCUUACUGGACUGUAACUGACGUUGAGGCUCGAAAGCGUGGGGAGCAAACAGGAUUAGAUACCCGUGUACG